UCGUGCUAGACGGGGAGCUGGCGGUGCCUUGUACCCGCAAUCCGCCAUAGCGGGGUCGAACUCCCCUCUGAGGGCCGACUUACCUGAUACUGCCGGUGUCAGGCGGUGUUGAAGAUUGGGUCCUGUGCGGCGGAGGCCUUCGAACCCCGUCAGGUCCGGGAGGAAGCAGCGGUAAGGAGUCCCCUCUGGGCGCCACAGGGUCGCCUGGUCGGAGCUGGCUGGCUUCGGUAAGGCGGGUGGAGCGGUUCGACGGGGGGUGCACGA
rnacentral:SRP_RNA from 1 species